UGUAUCACUGGGCUAACCUACUGUUUUUUGGUCUCUGGGAGUUUCUCCUAGAGGGGGCACAUAACGCGAGGUUUUGGGGGAGGUAAAAGACAGAUCUAGGGGCAGUUUGUUUCUCUUGCUCUCGGCAUUGGAGAGGACAGUCGGGCUGCUGCUCUCUGCGGAGAGUUCACGGUCAUCACUCCGUCCCGUCCUGGGAAAUCUACCAUCAUCUGCUCAUCUGCUCAGGUGCCCAGGGAUUCUGAGCUCGCCUCCUCCUGCCCUGCUGAGCCGGCCCUGCCUCCACUGCUGCUGUUUUCUUUGGCACUGCUUUGAGGCUUUCUGCUAUGCUGUAGCCCUGCACUGCACUGCCCUGCCAGGACAUCCCUGCCAUUCCAGCUACCAUCGCAGAGCUCCUGAUCUCAUCCACCAGCCCGGGACUUUGCACCGUUCCAGCUCAGCCUCUUGGAGUCCUGCAAGAGCACCGAGAUCAAACUGCCCUGGGCUUUGUGAAAGAAAGCCCUCGAGGGCUAUAAGUGUGGGGAAGGGUCCGUAGCUUGCUUGGAGCCUGAUUUGAGUGGACUCAAGACAAGGACUCUUGACGAUGCUAAUACAGCAACUAUGGUCCUAAAGGACAUAGGACCUCCGUCAGUCCGGGGCCCCCCUGGCCAGCAGAGCCCAUGUUUUGGGGUGAACACGGUACGGGACGGGUCCCAUAAGCCAGGCUAAGGUGGCGGGACACCCCCCAGUGCCCUUGGAGUCGGGAACAAGUGGCAAGAGACGCUCUGCCCAGCGCCGCAGUUCGCCCCGCCCACCCCACUAAGUUACAGCGGCGAGACGGAACAGCCGUGCAGUUUUUGUGUCUGGAGGUAGAUAUUGGACAAAUAGCUUUUAAAGACAUCAGAAAUAUGGCCGCACAGCUAUCUGUUCACCAAAAGAGUGUAUUAAAACAGCUUAAAAAUAUUUUAAUAAUGUUAGAAUCACUAAAAAGUUAGUAACACAUUUUGUCUGCUGGCUAU